CACUCUUCUUGUUACAAGCAGAAGCUGAGGAAAGGACUUUAUCCCAUAAUUACACUACUAAUUACCAAACAAAAAGCAACAAUUCAUAAUCCACCUCAAAAAAACAAUCAAAACUCAAUAAAGCAAAUAUACAAACACAUAAAUUCGUAAUAUCGACAAUUCAUACAUAAUCAAAAUCAACAAUUAAUCAGAAUCAACAAUUCAAGCUGAUAAGGGGGAGGGGGAGGGAGCGCGAGCGGGAGAGGGAGAGGGAGAGAGAGGGAGAAGGAGAGGGAGAGGGAGAGAGAGAGCGCUAACCGAGAGAGAGCUAAUUGAGAGAGAGUGCUUGGGAGUUAAUUGGGAGAGAGAGCGCGCUCUAUUCGGAGAGAGAGAGAGAGAUAGCAUCCAGGAGAGAACCAUCGCUGCGGGCUAGGGCAGUGAGUAUAGAUCGUCUUCUUCCCGUUGGCCGGACAUUUUAAUUUGACGAUGGAAUGAAUCUGUACCGCAUGUUUUAAAAGGAAUGAGUUGUUAUUUUUUUUAGUCCAAAAGGAAUGGACCAGGAUACCUCAUUCCAUUCCGCUGGCCCAACCAAACAAGUUAAUUUUUCAUUCAGCCCG
rnacentral:lncRNA from 1 species